UAGUUUUUAUACGCCCGUAUAAAAUACGGGACGUAUUAUGUGAAACCCCUUGGCGGGCGGCGGGCGGAAGGCAUCACUUUGUCCGGACUCUAAUUCAAAUUGUAUUCAUCCGAUCUUCACCAAACUUGGUCAGCAGUUGCAUCUAGUUGAUAUCUAGGCCAAGUUCGAAUAUGGGUCAUGCCGGGUCAAAAACUAGGUCAUAGGGUCAAUAAGUGCAUUUUCAAAGGGGCCACUUUGUCCGGACUCUAUUUCAAAUUGUAUUCAUCCGAUCUUCACCAAACUUGGUCAGAAGUUGUAUCUAGACAAUAUCUAGGUCAAGUUCGAAUAUGGGUCAUGCCGGGUCAAAAAUUAGGUCACAGG